rnacentral:piRNA from 1 species
UGGGAGACGGAGACUCAACUCUAGACCAGA